AUAAGGAAAGUCCGGACAGCACAGAGCAACGCACCGGUUAACAGCCGGCUUCUCCACUCGUGGGGAACGAGACAGUGCCACAGAAAAUAACCGUCCGCCUCAGGCGGAUAAGGGUGAAAAUGUAGUGUAAGAGACUACGGGCUUCUUUGGUAACAAAUUAGUGGGGUAAACCUUGCGUGCUGAAAUGCCAAAUAUACCAGUGCCUGAAGGCUGCUCGCCUAAGCUGGGUGGGUAGGCAGAUGGAGGCAGGCAGUAAUGCUUGUCCCAGAUAAAUGAUAGCGCUUUUGUUCGUUGAGCAAAAGACAGAAUCCGGCUUACAGGCUUGCAGUUAUU
rnacentral:RNase_P_RNA from 1 species